rnacentral:rRNA from 1 species
AUGCCUAAGACAUGCAAGUCGAACGAGGCGGCCACAGAUUAAAGGAAAUGGAGUGCUUGCACAAAGAUGGAAUUUAAUGACGUGGAUCUUCCGCCUAGUGGCGCAAGGGUGAGUAACACGUGGGUAAUCUACCUUAGAGACUGGGAUAACAGUUGGAAACGACUGCUAAUACCGGAUGAAAUAUAGAAGGAUACGUUCUUCUAUAGUAAAAGGGGCCUUUAAAGCCUCACUUUAAGAUGAGCCUGCGGCGUAUUAGCUAGUUGGUAAGGUAAAGGCUUACCAAGGCAACGAUGCGUAGCCGACCUGAGAGGGUGAUCGGCCACACUGGGACUGAGACACGGCCCAGACUCCUACGGGAGACAGCAGUUAGGAAUAUUCGUCAAUGGGGGAAACCCUGAACGAGCAAUGCCGCGUGAAGGAAGAAGGUCCUCUGGAUUGUAAACUUCUGUUGUUAAGGAAGAACGGUAAAUAUAGGAAAUGAUAUUUAAGUGACGGUACUUUUCAAGAAAGCAUCGGCUAACUACGUGCCAGCCGCCGC